UGGGGAAUAUUGCACAAUGAGCGAAAGCUUGAUGCAGCCAUACCGCGUGUGUGAAGAAGGCCCGAGGGUUGUAAAGCACUUUCAAUUGUGAGGAAGGUAGUGUAGUUAAUACCUGCAUUGCUUGACGUUAACUUUAGAAGAAGCACCGGCUAACUCUGUGCCAGCAGCCGCGGUAAUACAGAGGGUGCAAGCGUUAUUCGGAAUUACUGGGCGUAAAGCGCGCGUAGGCGGAUUAUUAAGUCAGUUGUGAAAGCCCUGGGCUCAACCUGGGAACUGCAUCUGAUACUGGUAAUCUAGAGUUUAAGAGAGGGAAGUGGAAUUCCAGGUGUAGCAGUGAAAUGCGUAGAUAUCUGGAGGAACAUCAGUGGCGAAGGCGACUUCCUGGCUUAAAACUGACGCUGAGGUGCGAAAGCGUGGGUAGCGAACGGG
rnacentral:rRNA from 1 species